GUGAGCCUACUGUUCAUAUAAAUAUCACGGACCCAAAGAGCUUAGCAGAAAGUGAUUUAUUAGGCAGAAAGAGAGAAAAACAAAGAACUCC